rnacentral:lncRNA from 1 species
GGCUGGCGUGAGUACUCACGAACACUAUGUGGAGCUCGAGUGGACUGGUGUGCGGGCUCACCUAUGGCCUGUCGGAGGGGAUCCACGCAGAGGUUAGCAAGUCCUACUCCCAGCUGGCCAAGACCUCCUAGGUGAAGAAGAAAACAGGGUGAGACCAGACUAUAAAUCUAUCCUGAGCAUAACAGUGAAAUAAGACUCCUCCUGUCUGAAGGCUGGAACCAGGGGCUAGGAACACAUCUGGAGGAGGACAACUGUAAAAUUCAGGUAAUUAAGAGACAUCUCAACUGCAGACACACUAUGGGCAACUCAUCAACUACAUAGCAUAGACUCAUUCCCAUCCCCUGAAACCUGGAGGAAGACUCCCACUAUGCCAUUUAUGCCUGAACUUUCUUCAGACGCCCUUCUAUGCUGCUGUCUCCCUCUCUACAGUGUUAAUAAUUCUUCUGAUAAAUCUCCUACCCCAAAAGAACAAA